UACAGAGGGUGCGAACGUUGCUCGGAAUUACUGGGCGUAAAGCGCGUGUAGGCGGGUUCGCAAGUCAGACGUGAAAUCCCCGGGCUCAACUCGGGAACUGCGUCUGAAACUGCGAGCCUUGAGUACCGGAGAGGGUGGCGGAAUUCCUGGUGUAGAGGUGAAAUUCGUAGAUAUCAGGAGGAACACCGGUGGCGAAGGCGGCCACCUGGACGGUAACUGACGCUGAGACGCGAAAGCGUGGGGAGCAAACAGG
rnacentral:rRNA from 1 species